AGUGAAUGCUAUCCAGUAAGUAGUUAAAACUCAUUUUAUCACAUCGCAACACAAACACAACCUCAAUGGACUAAAUGUAGACCAUCUUCAUCUUAUUUCAUUUUAUAAAAUGUUUAUUAUUUCCUUCCUAUUAAAAAAUAAGUUUUCAAAUUAGGAUAAACGAUUUUACAUAUUCCACUUUAAAAUGUGCAAGAAGUUUUACAAAAUUCUUUUAGAUUGCAGGUGAUAAAGGCUGGACUGACCAUCCUUUAAGCAGCACGCAUUGCACGAACCACUGGGAAUACCAGGAGAACACGGUACAAACGGCCUCUCCCUCAUAAUCCUCUGGCCUCCCCUGCCCUCUCCGGAAAACACCUGCCUCUGGUGACUGUUGUGAAGACGCACAUGUGCGGUGUAGACCACCCCAUACAAAGUUGGUGCCGAAAACGGGGUACGUUCUUAUCAUUGUUGCUGUCAGACCAAAGGGUAAGAGUUUGUCCCUUGCAUGAAACCCGUGGAUCUCCAGGAUAGGGAAAGCCAGAAGAAAGCGCGUGCGACUUUCCGGAUCGGAAGCAGCUUCCUUUCCUCUCAGUCCAACUUUCACUGCAGCCACUGCUUUGGCGACCAGCCCAGCACAAGCGAACCGGAAGCACGCCUGCCGGCACUGGCUUCCGGUCUACCCAGGCUGCUCUGCAGCGGCGCAUGCGCAGCACGACAGGCCGUUUUCCUUGAGGCGUAAUUGCUGACCGCGUGUCGUGUGGGCCCGACCGUAGACGCUCGAGAGUUCUAAGUCUCGCUGGGUAAGGCGUCUCAGAGAGGGCGCACCCGGCGGCCCACAGCAGGCGCCGGCUCAAGGAAGCCCCUUGGCACUGGCUGUGCUGCCUUGUGCGUUUCGCUUUCCCAGUCUCUCGUCCCAGACCCCGGGCUCCCUUCCCUAAUGAAUUGCAUGCACGCAAGCCCUUGUCUCGGACUUUGCUUUGGAGGGAAAACCAGGCUAAAACAUCUGUAGAAAGAAAAUAUUAACUGGGCAGAAUUUUGUUGUUAGAGGAGUUAUAAAAUUAACCACACAAUGAAAUAGUGUGCAACCAUUACAAAUAGUGGGGUAAAUCAAUCCAGGUGACGUCAGAAACUUCUAAGAUAUUGUUCAAUGAGAAAAGCAAGAUGCAGAGCAGUGUGCAUAAUAUGAUCCCAUUUUGUAAAACAAAAAAUAGCUUCCCAAAAAAGCCCCGUAUCUGUAUAUAAAUACACUUAUUUGUAAAUGUGUGUGUAUAUAUAUAAGCAUUUAUUUUAAAAUUUUAUAUAUGUAAACUUAAAAAAAGGAUAUGUACUAGUUUGUUAAAUGUGUUUGGGGGCGUGGGAAUGGAAAGGAGGAGGUUAGUAAAACAAAGAAAAAGAGGUCCUUAUUUAAAAAAUAAAUCAUGUAUGACAGGAUAUUAUUCCAUUCAGGUAAAAUCAUACGAACGUGAGUCAAUGCCUGUGACAGAUGAAAGGAGGAUCAUCACCAACGUGCUGAUGUUCAUCAUCCCUGGAUGUGGGGCUGCAGGUGAGGCAGCUUCCCAUUCCGGGAAGAAAGAUAAAAAAGAAGAGAGGAGGGAAGAAAAGAGGGAGAGAAAGAAGAAGGGGGGCAAAAAGGGAAGGAGGAAGAGAGAGAGAACAAGGAGGAGGAGCACAAGGACAAUGAAAGAAAGGAAAGAAGGAAAAGGAAAGAAAGAAAAUGCCCCAAAGGUUCCACUUGGAUGCUGGUGGGACAAGGUGGCCCUGGCAAACCUCCCCCUCCUCCCCGGUGUCAGGCCUGACCUGAAGGAUUCUCUUCCCAGCUUCCUGAUCAUCCCUGUUCUUCCAGAAGCACGCAGGUUCAUGUUGGUGAUCUAUUUUUUUCUUAAUUGAGAUGCAACUGUUAGUAUGGUACAUUUUGCUGACAUUCAUGUCACAUUUCCUAGAUACCAGAUAAAAAAUACUUUUAAUUAGUUAUAAAUGAGAAUGUAUACACAACAAUUCUGAAACUGUGUCUUCCUCAAAGUUUGCUUCCAAGUAUGAUACAUGUGGCUUUAGUGCCAAUUCUUAUUAAUUGUGUAAUGCAGUCUGCUGACACCCGUGACACAUUUCCCCAUAUCCAGUCACAAAAAUACUUCUAAUUAGCCAUAAAUGAGAGUGUACACACAACAUUUCCAAUAGCCACUCUGUUCCUCUCAAAGUUCACGUCAGAGAAAACUUAAACUGUUGCCACUGAGCUGCCUUGCUCCAAUUCCAACAACUCCUAUUUCAGAAGUGCUUAGAAAGUUGAAUCUUUAGAUCUUGCUUGGUAAACAGAUCUGAGGUAGAUUUAUUUCAACCCGAGUCCUCUAUUUGAGAUACAUGUGCUCCCAAACCCAACUAAAAUGCAUACCAUGGCCAUUUCAAAGGCAGUGAUAAAAUUACUUGGUUAAAUAUUUUGGCUAGAUUUCCUGUUUCCAGAGGCCCAGGCAUUAUAUUCUGUGGCUUCUGCGUUUGCACAUGGCGAUGGGGCGGUAUUAAAUGGCACCACAUCUGCCAGCCUCCGUAAGAACCAUGCCCCACAGGGAAGCCCCAGGCACCCAUCCACCGCUAUGAGCCACACAGACUGGGACGGACGACUCCAGACCUCAAUAACCACCUUCAAGUUCCCAGACCUUUAACUUUCUUCAGGAAUCCAGGCUGUAAGCCUCUUAAGAUGAUCCCAGACCAUAAAGUACCUCCCUCAGUUCAAAGUGUGGAGUCUAUAAAAUCACUCUAGUUAUAAUUCAGAUAUUCUCCAAACUCGAGGCUGUGAAGCAUUCUGAUCUGCUCUUAGAUUUCUGUAUAAUCUCUCCUUCAUUUCACAACAGGCUUUGUCUUCUGUAGCUCUGUGCAGAUGGCAAUCCUUUGUAAGUCAUGAGGCCAUGAUUUGUGCAUGGUACAUCACAGUGAAAGGGGGGCUUUAUGUCAGGGGAGGAAAAACAGUUCUGUUAAACUUUGCUUACUUUCACUACCUUUAAAAACUCAUUAAAUAGGAUUCUGCCUUUUACUUGCCGAAGUGUUUAAAACCCUUUUUAAUGAAAAAUUCUAAUCCUAUAUAAUCACACCAUAAGUACUUUCUUUCUGUUCAAAGAGGAAACAGUGUAAUUUUAAUGCAUACCUCUGGCAGGCUAUAAUAAAAGCGUUCAGUCAGUUUUAAAUCGGAUUAGUGUAACUGUUACAGAUUAGAGAAAAACCUCAAGUGAUUGAAGCAAGUCCCCCACUCAAGGGAACUAAUUUAGGGUCCAGGCCUGAUCAUACCAGACUUGAAGGGAACAUCAAGAGUCUUGCCUUCAGUUUGCCCAAAAUUUGUUCACAAGCUCAUACAAUAAGGUCCUGUGCUAGGUAUUACAGCCAUAUAAAGACAAGCCUUCCAAUGGGAGGCAGACCAGAUGGAAUGCAGCCCUAGACAAUGUGGAAUGAAGGGAAGAGCAGGAGAAGUGGGGCCUCCUUAGAGAAUGCAGAAUGGACAAAAUCACAUCUCAGAGAGAGAACCAUGGAGAUGUCUUAGAGGAUGAAACUUCUAAACGAGGCCUUAAAAGACAGACAGGUGAAGAGACAGGGACAUCCUUGGUAGGGUGGGAAAGGGUAUAAAAUUUUCCGAGAAUUAGGAAAAUUGAGUUGUUUAGAACAUGGAGAAGGGGAAGGGAAUGCCUCUGUGUCGAGGGCUGCUUUGUAGCAGGCACUGUACCAGGCACCUACAUCUCUUUUCUCAUUUAGUCCCCACAACAUCCCAGCGAGGUGGGUAUUACCCCCAUUUUAUAGAUGAGAAGACUGAACCUCAGGGAGAUUCUCCAACUUGUCUAAGGUCAAACAGCUAGCAAGUGCUUGCACUCAGAAGAAAAAUAUGGUUGAGCUUCUCUCAAUAAUUAGUCUAGGGAACUCCCCAAAUCGCUCCUUCCUCUUAGCCAUCAUUAGGGCCCAGCUUGUUCCAAAAGACUUUCCUGACCACCUGAGUUAGAAAUAUCUCUAGUCCCUGAAUUCAUAGCAUUCUUAAUUCUGUUACCCAAGAGGCAUUUAUUGUACCCUGGCUUAUAUUGUUAUCUUUUCUCGUGCAAAUGUUUACCUCAGUGCUUCUUCCUUGGUAGGAUCCGUUGUGUAGAGCAGGAAUAUCAAAAACAUCUGAGAAUAAAUGCACAUAUAUAUUUUUAAAUGUUUAUAUUUAUGAAACUGCCAUCCCACCCACCUUGCUUGGCCUUCUUCCAUAGUCUAAUAC
ensembl:lncRNA